rnacentral:misc_RNA from 1 species
CAACCCUCGAGCCCCGGUUCUUUCGGACCGGGGAUCGGUGUUGGGGCGCUACGGCGGUCUUCGGAUCGCCGUAGGUCCCGAAAUACAGUGGCGGUCCCGCCGCGGCGCCUUCUGCGUAGUAAACUUACAACUCGCAUUAGGUCCCGGCGAAGGCCAGCCGUCAAACCCUCUAUUCUUAUG